rnacentral:rRNA from 1 species
CCCGCUGAACUUAAGCAUAUCAAUAAGCGGAGGAAAAGAAACCAACAGGGAUUGCCUUAGUAACGGCGAGUGAAGCGGCAAAAGCUCAAAUUUGAAAUCUGCCAACAGGCCGAAUUGUAAUUUGUAGAGGAACGUUCGGUGAAGCCUUAGUCCAAGUCUUCUGGAAGGAAGCGCCGAUGAGGGUGAGAGCCCCGUAGGAUGAACGGCUGAGCCUUGUGUACGUCCUUCGAAGAGUCGAGUUGUUUGGGAAUGCAGCUCUAAACGGGUGGUAAAUUCCAUCUAAAGCUAAAUAUUGGCCAGAGACCGAUAGCGCACAAGUAGAGUGAUCGAAAGAUGAAAAGCACUUUGGAAAGAGAGUGAAACAGUACGUGAAAUUGUUGAAAGGGAAGCGCUUGCGACCAGACAUGUUUUUUGGGUUCAGCAACUAAAUUAGUUGUGUAUUUCCCAGGUAACAGGCCAACAUCGGUUUCUUGGGUCGGAAAAAAUCAUUGGGAACGUGGCUCUCUCGGGAGUGUUAUAGCCCUUUGAAGAAUACGGCCACAGGAGACCGAGGACAGCCUUUUGAAGGAUGUUGGCAUAAUGGUUGCUAGCGGCCCGUCUUGAAACACGG